rnacentral:lncRNA from 1 species
AAAAAGUCGGGGAGAGAAAUUUAAGCAUGUUCCGUUUAUUCUUUCCAAAUUUAUCAACCAGAUAAGUCAUUCCACUUCUUCUGAGGGAGUGAAGAAAGAGGCCAAGUUCAGAAUUUUACCAGUUGACUACCUUGACCUGGACAUAAGCACCAGAACGGUUGCACUCAACAACAAAGACUGUACUGGGAAUAGAAAGAUGAACAAGACAGUGCACUUCCCUUCAAAGAGCUUACAGAAUCACAACCAGCAGGUGGCCUGGGUUAUAACACGGUGCAUGUCACAGAAGGAGAGCCUCAUGCUUUGAUAUGAAACCAAGCUACUUUAACAUAGACUACUCUGGGAUCCAGGAAGAUAAAAAGCAGAUGGAAUAGCAAUAACAACAACUAAAGGACAGAAAAACCUAGCAACCACAAGGCAAGAGCAAGAUAAAAAUAAGAAUAAUAAAAGAUAAAUGCACGAAUUCCUAAACACCUUCCUCCUCUUCUCUCAGGUAACACAAAUGAAAGCCUUCUUACUAACAGUUUUCGGUUAUCUCACUGUAGAAGGUAGUCUGCUGUAGAGAGUAAUUCCAUCUAUCUACAGUGCUGUACUUGAAACUGAUAGUCCCAUAUGGAGUUUUUUGGAUACAGAUUGAAAUUAACCCUUAUGGACUUAAAGCUUGAAAAUUAUAUUUGUUUUAUAUGAGUCCCUUCCUCAGAAAAGGACCUUCAGGCCUCCCCCACAAAAAAAUAUCGGCCAGGCAUGGUGGCUCAUGCCUAUAAUGCCAGCACUUUGGGAGACCAAGGCAGGUGGAUCACCUGUGGUCAGGAGUUAGAGACCAGCCUGGCCAACAUGGUGUAACCCCAUCUCUCCCAAAAAAUACAAAAAUUAGCUGGGCGUGGUGGCAGGUGCCUGUAGUCCCAGCUACUGGGGAGGCUGAGGCAGGAGAAUCACUUGAACUUGGGAGGCAUAGUUUGCAGUGAGCCAAGAUUGCACCAUUGCACUCCCACCUGGGAGACAGAGCAAGACUCUGUCUCAAAAAAAAAAAAAAAAAAAAAAAGUAUCAAACAACUGAAUCUCACCAGAUCACGUCAGACAAUGACCAAUGACCAAACCCCUUAUUCAUCAUGAUUGCUUACUUGCCCGUCCCUACUAUCUGUUUUCUUACACAUUGUUUUAUUUCUUCCCUGCUAUAUACCCCUAGUUUUAGUCAGUCAGGGAGUUAGAUUUGAGACUGAGCUCCCAUCUCCUCAGCUGCAGCACCUGAUUAAAGUCUUCUUCCU